AUGAUCUUGUGUUUUGUGCAGUUGGAGGAGUGUGAUCAGAUGCUGUGCAUGAGAGGCAAAUUGUCAUCACCCUCUGGUGAUGAAAGAAACCAUGAGGAAAUGACCACCGAUGUCGCAAGUGGGGGAGAGGACAGAGAGUUGAGGACCCAUUUAUGUCUCUGAACUCCAGCUGAGUGUUUAUGGAAGCCUUCCUCCAGAGACACCUGCCAGAUCUUGAUCCCUGCUCGAAGCCUCACUGCUGUGGCUAUGCACUGCUGUGGAUUACUGGGAUAAGAAGUGACCUUGGAAAAUGUGACUGCAAGUGGUAAAAGCCAGGACGUUUUUCUGUAAAGUUAACACUUCCUUUGCAUCUGGGUUUGUUAUGAGUAACCAUACAUGGUUCAAGGUUCUUAGAAAACUAUUUUCUGGUAUCUUUGA
rnacentral:lncRNA from 1 species